rnacentral:lncRNA from 1 species
AACACUAUUCACUCCAGGGCAGUUUAGCAGUUCGGAACAGUUGGAGCCCUUCUGAGUGUCCGUUUGAGCUCAAAUUUGACAGGCAGGCUCGGUUUAAUGUACUGAGUAAGAAUAUAUCUUAAGUUUUCAGUUUCGACCCCGUUUGAUCACUGAAAACUGUACCGAACUGUAAUCUUUAUCAGAUAACUGUCGGAUUUUAUUUCUCACUUUCCGGGUGUCAGAAAAAUAUGAAACUUUAAAUCUAGUCUCAUAAAAAUAUUUCUGACCUAUCCUCCAAUUUUCAUAAUUUUCUGAGACUAUACAUUUUCUGCUAAUUUAUCUGUCCCGUUUCUAACAGAAAAUUUUAGAUCUCCUGUUUUCAUUCUGAUCUCAGCACAGGUCAUUUCUGACUUAUGUUUUACUCUUCUAAAUCCAAUAAAAAUAGUAUCACACACUAUUUUUAUUUAUUUUUAUUUUUAUACCAAAAUCUGGUAUGUUACAUUCUCCACCCCUUAAAAAGAAUUUUGUCCGCGAAAUUCAAAUCACGGCUCAAUUCAUCUCCGCGAACAAUUGAGGGUACCAACUCAUUCUUCCACUCCAAAGCGGCUCCACACCAUCGUGUUUCUAAAAGCGGCUCACUCCAAAGGACAUAGGUUUAAUAUUAAACUCAUUUGCAAAGUGUGAUGCAAGAGUGCAUCACGGUCUUGCAAGUCAUAGUGGCAGCGCAAGUCGGUACUCAACGACUCUACGCGCUCCAACACCACUCGUCAUUCGGUACGCAAAAAACUCUUCUUUGCACUGGCUUUCCCCUUAGGGAAUGCCUCCCAAUUCGAUCACCGACAUUGCUUAAAAGCAAUAUCACCGGUGCAUCGCUCCGUCGCGAGUGCUCUAAAUUCGCAUUGACCCUCAACUUUAACGUGAGAUGGCCUAUCUUAGCACAUCCCCAAUUCCAAUCCUCCAACUCCACGUGGUUUACUACUAGCUCAAGGUCUCACCAAGAGCACUUCAUCUUCUGAUACCAUAUGCCACGGUCAACAUCGAACUAUUUUCGCAACGAGCUCAUGCGAGCGCCUUGUUUGUGAAUUCGAGCCAAACUCCUCGAUAAGGCUAUCCGCCAAAUCGCUCUCUUCGGUCUCCACAGGUGGACCAAAGGCCACCAAUCCUACGUAGGCCUACCGCUUAAACCUGUCUCAAUACGCAGCGUCUCUCGCUCGCAAAUGCAGACCUAAUCAUGAUCGGGCGAAAUUCUCACUUGGGAAUUCGCACAUACUCCAACCAGGAGCAACUAAAAUCCCAAACCGUUACAGAUUCCCGGGUUGGGUCACACUCGUACUCUCGGUAUACUAUCAAUCGCACGACAUGCUCUACCGAGCCACAAGUACCACUAUCGGCUACUAUGCACCUAACGCGAGUCGCCAGUCCCACGAGUGGUCCAUGGCACGCUUCACACCUAGCAUUGCUCAAGUGCUACUGCCAACUCACUCACUCGGCUGAACCCAGUUCACACUCCACGCGUAACUCUACUCGAACGUCACACGCCUCUAUAGCGCUCCACAGUAAGUCCAGCAUUAUGCAACUCUUGCCUACACUCGCCGACUUCACAAGCACGACCCUACUACCUCACAUCGGGGUACUACUAGGCCCACGUGCUAGCACUUGGCCACUAACCAAUUGUUUCGUCAACAGUGAUUCACUUUCGCUGUUAGACCCAUCAGAACGACAUCCGAAAUACUCGGACUACUCGGGUGUCCUUAAAUAUCACAGCUCAACUCUCGCAAUCUACUAAUUAAGUUGUUUUGAGAGUCGAUUAGCCACCUCUAUCUCUACCGCGAGUUUCACUUCUCGCCAAAGGUCACUACUAGCACUUCGUUAGUGCCAUCUGGCUCUAUACCUAUACUGGCAGGUACUACGCCCUCACAACACGAGCAUGCCCGGGUAUCUAUACUCACCCGUCCACUCGGUCUUCACUAUGCUCAUGCAUGGCAAUAGUAAUUAACCACAUAACCAUUGCAUGCAAUGCAUCAACUUCACAUCAUGCAAAACAUACAUUUGCAUCAAUAACUCAUACCUGCAACGACGUCGUCAGCAACAGGGUCCUCAACCUGGGUUGCGUAUCUACGGCCACCUGGCGCUCGCCGCGAACCUUUAGGUUGCAUUGUCCUCAACGCCCUCUCUCCCGACCAUGCCGCAGAUGGCACACCUGCAGGCCAUCCUAGAGAGAAAUAGGCUGUCGCCAGUGUCAGGCCCCGGCUGUCACUUUGCGGACACUCGUCCCGCGCACAGCCCGAUUGCCCACACCUGUAGCACUUGCCCUCUCACAGCUCGCAAUACUGUGGGUAACGAAAACACCCACAUACGACAUAUCUCACUAAGGACCGAAUACAGUAGGUCCCCGGAACUCGGAAUCACGAGCACGAACACAUUGCACUCACUUGAGAACUUGACGGACCAUCGAAUCCACUCGUUGGCCGUUCUAUUUCCCUUUUCCUUACAAUUGGACUCAUGCUCCCCUCGCACAAUUGCACUGCCUUAUUCUAUCCACAAGGCCUAAUCCUCAAACCUCCUCUAAUCCUCCUAUUUAGAAAAGCUCCUGGAGAGUGAGAGAAGAAAGAACAUGGAGUUGAAGGGGUACUCCUUGCUGUGAACAAGGAAAGAAGAGGUGUAGGGUUUAUACAAACCGCCACAACUGCAUUUAAACCCCCCCAGCAUUUCUCAUUUGCAGUAGAUCUCAACCUGCUGCCAGACCCAUUGUGUACCGGUACACGGGCUUUUGUACCGGUACAAAGCUGUGCAGAGGCAAACCCGAGAGCAACCUCCUCGGAUUUUACCAAAGGGUACCGGUACAAACCAGAGGUGUACCGGUACACUUCUGCAAAAACUUAAACCCGAGAGCAAUGCUCUUCUCGGGUUGCAGGGCUGUACCGGUGACAACAUGAUGGUUGUACCGGUACACUUUGCCCAGAAUGCUGGUUUUGAGCCGUUUUCGAUUCUAUUUCGCGACGGUCGAUGCUAAAACCUUCUUACCUCCUUUGAAACUCAUUUUUAACCCUUCCAACGUCGUUGAAAUGUCAAUUGGACUUUGUCCAACUAUUUCUCUCAACGCACUUUGGUCAAUUUGACUAAAGUUUGAUGUUUAUUUACCAAAAUUUCGGUACGUUACAUUCUCCCUUCCUAAAAGGAGUUUCGUUCUCAUUAUCCCGCACUAUGUCCAGGAUGCAAUUCACGACACGGGAGAAUUCCCGCUCGUAUUCCCUCACGGCGCGGUCUACCUGCCGCAGCUUCGAGAACCUUUCCUGAAGCUUUCUUUUCCAUCAUCAAGGGAGUAAACCGAGAAUACCGAUCCCCGAAACUCAUCCCAAACCACAGGAGGGAGACCAGGUAGUCGAUUCCACUCGACGCCUAUCCACCACAUCUUCGUCGCGACUCCCGGCCGUACUUAACGAGCCGUAACUGGUGCGAUCACUACUGAUCCCCCAACUCUUGGAGUCUCUUAACUCGCUCCUCCCGGCAUAUGGCAGCCUUCUGCUGACACUGCAUAAAUUCGGCUCAUUACCCCGCCACACACACGAGAGUGGCCAAUCACUCGCGAAAUCUCAAGUCUCCGCUCGUCUCAAAUUGCCCAGGGUCACCACUUGGCCCAUCCCACGCCGAUCUAAACGAAGAUCGCCGACGCAGUGUUAUCGCUUCCUAAAACGCGACAACUUUAUUAAUCCUCGACCUUCUAGGUCGAACACGAGACACUUAAUACCGACUCAAAUCGGGCGAAAGUUACACAAGGGCGUCUAUUCUCAUGACUCGGUUUCAUGUUGUGCGCGCCCAACAUGAACACCCUUUGUUGAGAAUAAACCUCUCCUUGAGUCUAGUCUACCUCAAACAUCCGCUUUAGAAGUUUACGACACAAUCCAAUCGAUUAACCUUUCGCCAAAAGGUACAAAUUCUCAUCUUUCACGAGCCUUAAUCUCCUAUGGUUUACUAUCCUAGGGUCUUCUAGAUCCAACUAAACCAUUUCUAUUAUUAUUUUUAUAUUCUUUUUAUUCUUUGAUACCAUCUUAUCUGUCACGCCCCGAGCCCGCAUAUUUGGCCGGUUUCGGGCACGCCGACAGACCGCCGAACGGACAGGGUUUCUCCGGUACCGUGGACAGAGUCUCCCCUAUACGUCCAAGGCGUCGCAAUUGAUACAAUGUACGAAGUUCCAACUAGAAACACAUUUCGAUCAAAAAUUGCAUAAGGAAGUAUCAAAAGCAUAAUCUAGUUGCUAUUACGAGCAUUCACAUUCACUAGAUACAUUUUACAUCACAAAUACUUAUUACAUUUAACUUCCAAAUACAAUCAAGAUUGUUACAACAUUGUUUAUUCUUUCCUUUUCUUUUCUUCUACAACCCUAGCUAGGCUGACUCGGGGUACCGCUAUCUCUGAUCUCGGUGGUAGGGCGCAAUCUAUGGAGCUACGCCCUCUCCUCACGCCGCCGCGCCGCUGACGUGGGAACCUGUACCCCCAAAAAUAACACGGGGGUGAGAACUAUAUGAAUAUAGUUCCCAGUGGGUACGACCACCCAAGGGAAGAGCUCGACCCACAUGUCCAAGGAGGCACUGCAACAUGUUAGUCCAACAAAUAUCCAACAGAUAUAUAUAUAUAUAUGCGAUAAUUGAAAUACAUGUCAUGCCUCACAACCAUGCAAUAUGAAAAUCAUGCGAUUUAUGCAACCAAUUAGUAGUUCAAUCGAUACUACUUUAAUCCUGCUAUUCAAAACUCAUUCUAUUGACUUCGAAAUUAUUCCGCUAUUUUAAAUUCAUAUCAAUUACAAUUCUGAUCAUAUGGUCUCAUUUACCUUUAUCAACUAUCCACCUGACUCGGUCUCGAGUCAAUCAUUCGCAGAGUAACGCGUAAAGCCGAGCUCGAGGCGAAGAACGUCUCACUUUCACCUCAGCCUUAAGUCCACUCAACUAGGAUAUUACUACAGCUCAUGUGCUUGUUACCCAAUCUCUUGGCUAACGAGAAGGUUUCGCCUUCAACAAACUCACCAACCCAAAAUCCCAUUAACCGGGAAGAUACCCGCUACAACCCGGUGGGACCGUCCUCUGGGGAGAUAACCGCUACAACCCAGUGAUGUCGACUCCGGAGCACAUCGCCCGAGGGGGAGCUACCACAACCUCGAGCAAGGACUAAAGGUGAGUAUGAUCAAUCCUACAUUUGAGGACUCCAAGUUCAAUCCAUUCCUUAACUUUAGGAAGACUAUGCUCAAAUGACCCUAAACUCUAGUGUUGAAAUGUCAUAAUAUUUCAAUCAUUCUUUUCUUUGCAUUCUUUACUAUCACUUGUGUCAUAUACACUACUAUAUUCUUAGACUCAUGCCACACUUAUUUUCUAAGUGUUCAACAUGCCAUAAGUGUUUCCACUAUACUAAUCAUAUGCCACUCGAUCUAAUAUAUAUAUAGAUUGUUCACGUCACAUAUCAUAGUUCAUACGUCAUUGUUUUCCAACGUCGAGUUUUCUAACCAUCCAAGAGGUAUAGACCCAAGUUCAACAUGCAUAUGUUAUUUAAUAUAGUCCACAAUACUUCAACAUGCAUAUAUAUCAACUCGUAUCUCAAGGUAUAUCAACAUGCAUAUAUUUUCAUCUACUAUGUUCCACAAUAUGGCAAUAUGUCAUCAAGUAUGUUUUUCUAUUUAACAUAAUCCACAAUAUGUUAAUUCAUAAUAUGUCAUCAUGCACAUAUACCACUAGCAUCACAAGAUAUGUCAACAUACAUAUAGUCAUUAUCCAAAAUAGUCCAUACUUAGCAUCUCAUGCAUUCUUUUAGCAUUUAAUUCAUUAUGCAUCUCAUCUCAUUGGUAGGUAAUCUCAACUACAUUGUAUGUUUCAAGCAUUCAUAUCAUUAUGUAAGCCUACCAACACAACUAUAUGCAUCAAUUAGAAAACCAUUACUCUUAGACAUAUAUGCGACCUAGUCGCUUCGGUGAGCACAACUCACCUCAUUUCGCAUUCCGAUUGCUUGUCGACACUUGCAAUCGGCCUCCCGCGGCACCCGGCACCCGAUUUGGCCCGAUCUCUCGCGCCACCACCCGAACGGCAUCCAAUUCACGAUCCGGAAAUUAAAGGUUUUUGGUUAUAUGCUACGAUACUUCAAAUCCGUUUUCAUGAGGUUAUGAUAUCGCCUCGGCCCUCCAGGCGAAAACGAAGCCUAAACGUCUGUUUCUUUAAUAACUUCGCAACGGCUCGACGAAUCGCCGAACCGACUUCGCCAACGCGUUCGUUUACCUAGCAAUUAGGUUUACGAAGGGUCAAAUUAGAUCAAACCCCCAUAUUUUACAAAACACCAUUUUUGAGCCCUAACAUGAAUUAACCUCCAAAUAAUCCAAAUUAAAUGGAGCAACAUGCUAACAAUGCUCAUUAGAGGCUAUUAGAAUACUUAAAGCUAAGGAUUAAGCAAAAUCCCAAAAGCUUACCACAAUGUGAACGCCGCGAUGAAAACACGCCGCUCCAACGGGCGCACGAAAGCUCGAUCCGUCGCUCUCAACGCAUUCACGAGCAUCUUCUCCACCAACGCCGCGAAUUUGAGCGAGAGAUUUGGAGAGAUGAGAGAGAAAUCUAGAGAGAGAAGGGAGGGUUUUUCCUCUCCCUCCAUGCGUGCGUGAGUGGUAGGGUGGGCUGGUCGGUUGAGGAAGAAGAAGCAUCAGCUUCUUUAAUAACUACACCCUUCAAUACUAUUCACUCCAGGACAGUUUAGCAGUUCGAAACAGUUAGAGCCAUUCUGAAUGUCCGUUUGAGCUCAAAUUUGACAGACAGGCUCGGUUUAACGUACUGAGUAAGAAUAUAUCUUAAGUUUUCAGUUUCGACCCCGUUUGGUCACUGAAAACUGUACCAAACUUUAAUCUUUAUCAGAUAACUGACGGAUUUUAUUUCUCACCUUCCGGGUGUCAGAAAAAUAUGAAACUUUAAAUCUAGUCUCAUAAAAAUAUUUCUGACCUAUCCUCCAAUUUUUAUAAUUUUCUGAGACUGUACAUUUUCUACUAAUUUAUCUGUCCCGUUUUCAACAGAAAAUUCUAGAUCUCCUGUUUUCAUUCUGAUCUCAGCAUAGGUCACUUCUGACUUAUGUUUUACUCUUCUAAAUUCAAUAAAAAUAGUAUCACACACUAUUUUUAUUUAUUUUUAUUUUUAUACCAAAAUCUGGUAUGUUACAACUUAUACAUAUUAUGACAAUGUAAUUGUGAAUCAAAUGCAAAGACAACACCA